rnacentral:rRNA from 1 species
CGGGUGGUAAUGCCGGAUGCUCCGACAUGACGCAUGUCGUGUCGGGAAAGAUUCAUCGGUAUGGGAUGGGGUCGCGUCCUAUCAGCUUGAUGGCGGGGUAACGGCCCACCAUGGCUUCGACGGGUAGCCGGCCUGAGAGGGCGACCGGCCACAUUGGGACUGAGAUACGGCCCAGACUCCUACGGGAGGCAGCAGUGGGGAAUAUUGCACAAUGGGCGCAAGCCUGAUGCAGCGACGCCGCGUGCGGGAUGACGGCCUUCGGGUUGUAAACCGCUUUUGACUGGGAGCAAGCCCUUCGGGGUGAGUGUACCUUUCGAAUAAGCACCGGCUAACUACGUGCCAGCAGCCGCGGUAAUACGUAGGGUGCAAGCGUUAUCCGGAAUUAUUGGGCGUAAAGGGCUCGUAGGCGGUUCGUCGCGUCCGGUGUGAAAGUCCAUCGCUUAACGGUGGAUCCGCGCCGGGUACGGGCGGGCUUGAGUGCGGUAGGGGAGACUGGAAUUCCCGGUGUAACGGUGGAAUGUGUAGAUAUCGGAAAAGAAC